GCCUUCGUGGUGCAACGGUAGCUCACUCGGCUCGUAUUCGAGAGAUUCAGGUUCGAGUCCCGGCAAGGGCA
rnacentral:tRNA from 1 species